CUCGCCGUGCGCCUCCCCGGCGGUGACCCCCAGCCCUCGCCCAUGGCAUCUAGUAGCGGAUGAUCCUCGCCACACCGCGCGUCCCUUCCGUGCGUCCCUUCCGCGUACGGACACGAGCAUUGGUCUCGUAAUUGGGGCAUCCCCUACUAGAUUGGGCGGGAUAAACGGCGCUGUUGCGUCGAUCCUGAGAUCCACUGAUGGAUUCGGACGGCGAAGCAUCGGACCAGGAGAUCAGGCGUCUCAUGGUGGAGCUCGUCCGCAGGGAGAGGGCGGCUACAAGAGCGGCGAGAAGAGCGCAAAGAGCGGAUCGAGAUGUGGCGAUGGCGAGGAUGAAUCUCGCGCUACGAGCAGUGUGUGGGACCACGGAGAUGGAACAACAAAUCACCCCCGACUUGAUCCUGCCUGGGUCGCGGAAGAAGCUGUAUCCACUUCAAGGAUUCAUCGGAUGAGGUUGAGAUUGUUCAGAUCCGAGAUUUGACCAAUUUUGUGUCGUGGCCUGCUUCAGGGUCUGGUAUGUUUCGUCAUGCUGCCUCUAAUUUGCGUUGUAAUUUUGGUGCUGGUUUGACCUCUCGCCGUCGAAGAUCGACGUCGCCGCCGCCGUUCAUGGUGCCGCCCUCACAAGAAUUGGGGAGGAGCGGGGGCGGGAUGGUUGUGAACGGGCCCCAGGGUCAGCCUCUAUCGACGUUUAGACCGUUGGAUGUGUCCUCAUACGAUCCUGACUGUUGAUUGCGGGAAACAGUUGCCAACCCAACCUUGAGAGACAUAUAUUCCCCGACAUGUGCGUGCCCCUAAUCCCCAGGCUGCUAGGGUUCGUCGCUGCCCCCUGCGCCGCCAUCGUGAAUCCAAUACUCUAGUCUAGAUCAACCGCGAUCUGUUUGCUAAGGGAGAGUUCUUUACGGCAUAUUGUUUUCCUAUCGGUCCUUCAGACCAUCUGUUUGAGCCCAAGCAAUUUAGCUCCUCGUGCGAUUUUUGGUCGUAGAAGACCGAGAAACCUCCGUUUGUUGUUGUUGUCAAGAAGAUGGCUGGGGCUAGGCAGAAUCAAGGUGCUAGAGGGGGGAGAUAUGGAGCUGGCCGUAGCCGCAUUGACACUGCUCGCCCUCCAGCCCCUGUGCAGCAACAGCCUGUCGCCGCUCAAGUGAAUCCUGUUUGGGCGCCAAUCUCCUCACCAUUGCCUUCUCAGCAUGCCCCUCCCAUUUCCAUCUAUGCCAAACCUCCCAUUGUUCCACUUGGAGCUAGUUCUCCCAGUAUGCUACACCCAGCUAUGAACCAGAUCUACACUGGUUUUCCUACCUCUAAUUACCAAUUCCCCCAAAUGGCUCCAUGGAUGCAACAACCUCAAUCGCAUUCCCCCUACAUGCCACCAUAAAAUCUUCCUGUGUAGUACCGACAACCUUUCUAGCAAUCUGUCAGUACUGGCAGUGGUGCUUCUCGAGGGAGUGGUCAAGCUGGGACUGUGAAAAACAAGAAGGAAGCUAAGGCUGGUGCUAAGCAAAAGCAACUUCUUGCUGCCUCUGGGCCCAAUGAUAGCUCCACUGCUCAAGUUUGUGCAGACUCUGAUGGACAUAUGGUGGAUCCUAAAUAUAUAGGUGCUAUUUGCUAAAAUUGUGGCCUCCCUGGUCACUUUGUUGGCAUGUGCUCCAUUCCUCAGGUUUGCUUCAUUUGUAAAAGCCCUGGUCACCAUAUGGUGUUGGGGAACGCAGUACUUUCAAAUUUUUUCCUACGCACACGCAAGAUCCAUCUAGGUGAUGUAUAGCAACGAGAGGGGAUAGAGUGUUGUCUACGUACCCUCGUAGACUGUAAGCGGAAGCGUUAUGACAACGCGGUUGAUGUAGUCAUACGUCUUCACGAUCCGACCGAUCCUAGCACCGAAGGUACGGCACCUCCGCGAUCUACACACGUUCAGCUCGGUGACAUCCCACGAACUCUAGAUCCAGCUGAGUGUCGAAGGAGAGUUUCGUCAGCACGACAGUGUGAUGACGGUGAUGAUGAAGUUACCGACGCAGGGCUUCUCCUAAGCACUACAACGAUAUGACCGAGGUGGAAAUCUGUGGAGGGGGGGCACCGCACACGGCUAAGAGAUCAACUUGUGUGUCUAUGGGGUGCCCCCUCCCCACGUAUAUAAAGGAGGGAGGGAGGAAGAGGCCGACCUAGGAGGAGGCGGCACCAAGGGGGGCAAUCCUACUCCAAGUAGGUUUGCCCCCCCUUUCCUAUUCCUACUAGGAGAAGGAGGAAAGAGGAGGAGGGGAGAAGGAAAGAGCGGGCCGACCCCCCAAACCCUAAACCAAUUCGGUUUGGGCCUAGGGGGGCGCGCCCCACACCUUUCUUGCUACCCUCUUUAUCCACUAGGGCCCAAUAAGGCCCAUGGACUCCCCGGGAGGUUCCGGCAACCUUUCGAUACUCCGAAAAAUACCCAAUACACUUUGGAACCCUUUCGGUGUCCGAAUAUAACCUUCCAAUAUAUCAAUCUUUAUGUCUCGACCAUUUCGAGACCCCUCGUCAUGUCUGUGAUCACAUACGGGACUCCGAACUACCUUCGGUACAUAAAAACACAUAAACUCGUAAUACCGAUCGUCAUCGAACGUUAAGCGUGCGGACCCUACGGGUUUGAGAACUAUGUAGACAUGACCGAGACUCAUCUCCGUUCAAUGACCAAUAGCGGAACCUGCAUGCUCAUAUUGGUUCCUACAUAUUCUAUGAAGAUCUUUAUCGGUCAAACCGCAUAACAACAUACGUUGUUCCCUUUGUCAUCGAUAUGUUACUUGCCCGAGAUUCGAUCAUCGGUAUCUCAAUACCUAGUUCAAUAUCGUUACCGGCAAGUCUCUUUACUCGUUCCGUAAUGCAACAUCCCGUAAUUAACUCAUUAGUCACAUUGCUUGCAAGGUUUAUAGUGAUGUGCAUUACCGAGAGUGCCCAGAGAUACCUCUCCAAUACACGGAGUGACAAAUCCUAAUCUCGAUCUAUGCCAACUCAACAAACACUAUCGGAGACACUUGUACAUCAUCUUUAUAGUCACCCAGUUGCGUUGUGAUGUUUGAUAGCACACUAAGUGUUCCUCCGGUAUUUGGGAGUUGCAUAAUCUCAUAUUCAUAGCAACAUGUAUAAGUUAUGGAGAAAGGAAUAGCAGUAAACUAAACGAUCAUCGUGCUAAGCUAACGGAUGGGUCAAGUCAAUCACAUCAUUCUCUAAUGACGUGAUCCCACAAAAAUGAGGAAGUUAUCCAAAGUUGAAAAUGUGCUAGGAAAAUAGAAAGAUGAUAACAUGCAUGGAACGAUGAUAUAAAGCAACUGCUGACUAGACCACACAUAAGAAGGGUUUGACAGCCCUAUUUAGUUAGCUACAGAAAACAACACUAGUAAUAUAACUGGCAAAUUUAGUUAAGUAUAUGAAACUUGAUCUUUAAUCCAUGUUAUAUUGUACGGUUGUACCAAAUGACCUACUCUAUAAGUUUUCAUGGUAGCCAAUUACUCUAUAGGUUUUAAGGAAUAUUUCAAGGUGGCCAUAACUUGCAUCUUCCCUUAUCAUGUACUCCCUCUGUCCCAUAAUAUAAGACGUGUUUUGACACUAUGACAGUGUCAAAACACGUCUUAUAUUAUGAGACGGAGGGAGUAUUUGUGUGUGUUCCUCUCUGUUGUGUGUGGGCUGACGGAGUCCAUGUAGUACACCGAGGUUCACAUUUAUUUAGUACCAAAGGGACACAUAAAUGGAUGCAUAGAAAGGAAACAUACAAGCCCUUCUGCCUAAAGACCAAGAGAUUGCUAACACAAUCUCUAUGUGUGUAUGUACUCCCUCCGUUCCUAAAUACAAGUCUUUUUAGAGAUUCCAAUGCGGACUACAUACGGAGCAAAAUGAGUGAAUCUACACUCUAAAAUAUGUCUAUAUACAUCCGUAUGUAGUCCUUAUUGAAAUCUCUAAAAAUACUUAUAUUUAGGAACAGAGGGAGUAACACAUAAGAAUAACAUAUUUUUCAAUUAACUGAACUAGGGAUAGUCGUGCCCCAUCAUAUAAAAUUAAUAAAGGUAGAAGUUCAAUAAGCUGAACUACCAGUGAUGGAUCGAUAAUGACUCUACAAGCUACAUAAGUACGCAUAAGAAUAUCGCGGUGUCAUGUCAAACUAAGUAUUCCCGCCGAUCCCGCUUACAUUGUAUAGAGGCUACGUCAAUUAAUUCAGAUCAGAGGGAGUACUACAAAUGAUAGUGAGGAGCUGAGGAUACUGAGAUGACAUUAGCACAAAUUUUCCAAGUUACAACUACAGUAUCAUUAAUGUGACAACCAACCAUUUGUAACUCCUCAUCAACAUUUCCAUCAAAAUCUUGUAAGGUCAGCUGUCUGUUGAUGUCAUUUCAACCAGGUUACGGUGGCCUAAAACUUACGGUGGUCCCCUCUUUCCUUCUCCCAUCCUCCUCUUUCCUUCUCCUCCUAGUUGGACUAGGGAAGGGGGAACCUACUCCUAGUAGGAGUAGGAUUCUCCCCUUGGGGCGCAGCUUGUCGGUGUCAAAACCGGCGGAUCUCGGGUAGGGGGUCCCGAACUGUGCGUCUAGGCCGGAUGGUAACAGGAGGCAGGGGACACGAAGUUUUACCCAGGUUCGGGCCCUCUCGAUGGAGGUAAAACCCUACGUACUGCUUGAUUAAUAUUGAUGAUAUGAGUAUUACAAGAGUUGAUCUACCACGAGAUCAGAGAGGCUAAACCCUAGAAGCUAGCCUAUGGUACUAGCCUAUGGUAUGAUUGUUGAUGUGUAUGUUGUCCUACGGACUAAAACCCUCCGGUUUAUAUAGACACCGGAGAGGGUUAGGGUUACAUAAAGUCGGUUACAAUGGUAGGAGAUCUGAUCAUCUGUAUCGCCAAGCUUGCCUUCCACGCCAAGUAAAGUCCCUUCCGGACACGGGACGGAGUCUUCAAUCUUGUAUCUUCAUAGUCUAGGAGUCUGGCUGAAGGUAUAGUUCGGCUAUCCGAACACCCCCUAAUCCAGGACUCCCUCAGUAGCCCCCGAACCAGGCUUCAAUGACGAUGAGUCCGACGCGCAGAUUGUCUUCGGCAUUGCAAGGCGGGUUCUCCUCCAAAUUCCGUGUACCUGUUUGAAUAAAGUCCGGUUUCUUGUAGAUGUUGCGCUCCUUGGCUUCUACGCCCAAUAAUGGCCGUUUUCCACGUGUCAAACGAAUAUGAAAAGUCUGAGUGUUUUUACGUUCACACCCCUAGCCGCGUAAAUGAGUUGCCCUUUAAGGGGACGAGGAUUUAGAUCCAAUCCACACCUUCUCUCCUCCACGAGUGUUCAUCAGAGCGCAUCCGACAAAGGUCCAUUCCACCAUGGCCAGCCGCCGCAACUCCUCCGCUCGCCCUUCUAGCCCUAAGCCUGGAUAUUGGUAGAGAUGUUCUACUCUACAUAGCGAGCUAGUGACGCUCCAGACCAAGGGAUUUCUCCCCCCGGCCUAUAUGGUCCCGGUCCGAGCCGGUCUUGCCGUCUACAACGGCGGAGAGCAAGCAGAGAAUGCCCCUAAUCCAUCCAAAGGAGAGCGGGUGUGCCUUGUCCCUUACUUAAUAAGGGGGCUCGGAUUUCCCAUCCACCUGUUUCUCCGGGGGCUGCUGGAGUUCUACGGCCUCCAGCUACAUCACCUCACGCUUGCCUCAGUAUUGCAUAUCGCGGGCUUUGUAGCCCUCUGCGAGUUGUUCUUGGGUAUUGAAGCUCAUUUCAGACUGUGGAAGGAGCUAUUUUGCCUCGUGCCCAGUUCCAAGAAAGGGUCAAUGUAUCAAGUGGGCGGAGCCGAAGUAUGGCACAUCACCGGGACCGAAUAUCUGCCUGGAACCCCAAAGAAGGCGUCCGAAGAUUGGCCCUCAGAAUGGUUCUAUAUAGAAGACGUCCUGCUGCCGGAUCCUGUCCGGAUCAGCCUCCCAGAGUUCGAUAGUGCUCCUUUAAAGAAGCGCCUAAGCUGGCGUCCACGGAGCCCUCAAAGGGAAAGUGAUAGGGACAUCGUUUAUCUCAUGGGCCGAAUAAGAUUGUUGGCCCAUUCCGGACUAACCAUGAUCGGAGUUAUGGCCGAAUGCAUCAUGCGAGGGGUGCAGCCGCUUCAGUACAGAAGCCACCCCAUGUGGGAUUUCAACGGGGAGGACGACGCCACCCGCUACGGCCGUAAGGGGCCAGAUUCAGUUGCCGCUCUAUUAAAGAUCUUUUCCAAUUUGUACAAGGGAGAAGAGGAGGAAUUUCUCCGCGUCAACCCACAGGGUGGAUUCUCUAUGCAUAAUCCCCCAAGCUGGGUAAGUGGUCGCAUUUACUUGCUCAUCCGUUUAGUGUUCCCAUUGUUAAAUACUUAGUCUGAUGACUUCAACGCAGGAACUGCGCCGGGCCAUUAAGGACAUAAGCAGCCCGCCUCCACAACCCGAGGACCCAGGAUGGUCUCUCGACCCAGCCUCUCAAGAGGAUCCACAUAUCUGUGGAGCUGAUUGAUGGAGUGUUCCAUCAAUUGAGCGAGGACAACACCUUGGUGGCCAUUACGGCCGAUUACCCAGGGCUAAUCCGAACACCCCAGGUACCUGAGACCGAAGUCCCUGUACCCCAGACAGGGGUCCGUCCACGCGUGUUCAAUUUCCUGAUUGCAACCGAACUUUGCAGGGGAGGUUUUUGAGGCGGAAGGCCGAACCUGCAGCGACAAACCAACCAGGGGCCGCAGGGCCCCAUGGGCAGAAAAGAGGUGCAGUCCGGACCGAGGCAUCAGCGCGAAGGUAUGGCGCGCCCCUUUGUCCCAGUUGUUAUACCUUCGAGGCACAUUUGACACUCGUGCCCUUUUCAGGACAAAGAGACCUCGCCGGACUAUAUCCGGAGAGGCUGCUAAUCGCGCCUCCACCAGCCAGGCUCCAAAGCCUGGUCCGGGGGCGAAAGCGAAUGCAAGGCGUGUGCCAGACAUUCCUCCGAUGGAGGAUGCGGACGGGUUAUCUACCACCAACUCUGAGGUGGAAAGUGCCAUGAACCACAGGCGUCGUCGGACAAUUCUUCGCGACGCUUGCUUCUCCCAAGAGGCAUUAGAUGCCUUCAAUUCAGGAGAUGCACACCUCCGUGCCGCUCAAAAUGGUCUAGCCAGAGCCACGGAGCAAUAUGUAAAAGACAUACGGGUAAGAAAAUUUUGGUAAAUAUAUAUGUAGCAGUAGCCCUCGAGACUGAGAACAGUUAGAAUACCUGGUUUAAGGAUCGUUUGAAAUGCAGGUUCUUACAGAAAGGAAUUCCCUACUGUCCCAGGAGCUGGAAGAGUGCAAAGCCCAACUGGAGGCCGCACUAGCCGCGGUAGGGGAGCCUAAGGAGACCCCCUCUGGUAAUAUACAUUUCAAAAGAUAAGUAUGUGGUGAAGCACGGCUUUGGUGCGAAUCUGACAAAUAAAAUUGCAGAUGGCGCCGGAUUGAAUCCGGAAAGGCAACACCUCCUAUGCCAACUAAAGGCUGGUGAGAGGGUGCUAUUAAAGGUGAUGGGGGAUAAGAACGUUCUCCAAGAUGCCAACACCCAGCUGGGCGUCGAGCUAAAAGAUGUUCGUGCCCAGCUGUCAGACUCCGGGAAGGAGAAUCAGCGGCUUCGGCGUGGCAUAUUUAGUAAGUGCUUGAACGAACCUUUUGAAAGAAAGUUCGGCGGUGCCGUCGAUUAACAGAGCAAUAUCCGUAGGUAUGUUAACAGGUCGUCCUGCAGAGGAGAUGCCCGGUUCUACGGGUGACCUUCUUCCCGAGCUCUUGCAAUUGCUCGAUCGAGUUCGGCAGGCGAUGCGAGGCGUCGCCCAGGCCCUGUGGCCAUCUGUCUCCACGCCCGAAGGUCUUGGAGAGCUUGCGGAGAAGCUGAGGGGAGAACGGCGGCGCUUCCAGUUGUGGAAGAUAUCAUCCUGCCGUCAAGGCGCUAGGGAGGCCUGGGCCAUGGUGAAGACGCGGUAUUCACAGGCCGACCCCAACCAUAUGGCCGAGGUUGGUCCUAUAGGGCCCGAUGGGAAGGAUAUCCCUGUGAGCUUAGUAUACGGCCAAGUAGAGUUGGCCGCAAAGUAUUCCCAGCAGGACUGUAAAUUAGACAGCCUGUUAGAUGGUAUUGAAGAGGAGUACAAUCAGUAAAAUGACUAUGUAAUUUAAUUGACAUUUAUAAUGCCUUCUAGCCGGAUUGUAGAUCAUUUGUCAUGGCCGACCUUUUCGCUUCAGCCUCGGGACCUGACGGUCCGGAGUGUGUCCGAAUUCCCAUGCGGUUAUAUAGGAACCGGGGAAUGCGUGCAGAGCAGGCGUAGGGGUCAUUAUGGCGUGAACAAACAAGUGCCCGACUAGUUAUGUUAUAUUACAUGGUUAAUAAGAGACAUCUUCCAGGAAGAAUAGUUCCGUUAGGGGUUCCUUUCCCUGGGAGGCAUGCCCUAAAGCGCAUGUCCAUGCUGCAAAGAGAAACGCAGGAAAAACAUCUAGGGGCAUGUGGAAAAAAUAAAAAAGAUCGUCUUUAGUUCACCGACCGAAUAUUCCCUUAAGAACGCUAGCUUUCGGCUUCACCCAGUCUGAGGUACACGUCCGGCUGACCCGGCAGUAACAAUCGCAGAGGUGCUCCCUUUACCGCCUAGCCGAACAAUCGGGAAUAUAGGGGUAAGCACAGGAGCCAGGCAACCCAGCUUGGCCAAAACUGAAGUCAUAUCGAUGCAUAUAGUGGUGAAUAAAAGGUACAUGCGGAAGUUUGACACAUGUGUUGGGCGUGAAGCCCGUGGAAAUAAGCUUCUGUUGAAAGAAGCCCCCAGGUUUGCUGAGCGCGGAUAGCGCGUCACUUUGUGAGCCUCUAAAGGCUAUAAGAGGGAAAGAGAGAGAGAAGGAGAGAAAUGUAAGACAGAGGGUAUAUAUAAAAAAUGGACAGAGUAAGGAGACGAACACAGGAUCCGGCGCUAGGCAUAGAAUCUUCGGAGGCGGGCUGCGUUCCAUGGGUUCGGCUCAAGUCGGUUAUCCGAUGCACUUCGCAGGCGGUAUGCGCCACCAGUCAGGACUUGGUCGAUGAUGAAGGGACCUUCCUACUUGGCUUGGGUUUGUCCUUUUUCUUGUCCGACAGGUGUAACGCCCCGAGACCGAUGUGCCAGGUGUCGUCCAGUUAUUCGCUGUUGUUGCCUUGUCGUUGCUUGCGUGUCAUUCAUUGCAUAUCAUGUCAUCAUGUGCAUUUCAUUUGCAUACAUGUUCGUCUCAUGCAUCCGAGCAUUUUCCCCGUUGUCCGUUUUGUAUUCCGGCGCUCCGUUCUCCUCUGGUGGUCAUUUCUAUCUUCUUCUCGUGUGUGGAGAUUAAACAUUUCCGGAUUGGACCGAGACUUGCCAAGUGGCCUUGGUUUACUACCGGUAGACCGCCUGUCAAGUUUCGUACCAUUUGGACUUCGUUUGAUGCUCCAACGGUUAACCGAGGGACCGAAAAGGCCUCGUGUGUGUUGCAGCCCAACACCCUUCCAUUUUGGCCCAAAACCUACCAAAACCUCCUCCAUCAUCUCGGUCGUUCGAUCACGAUCGCGUGGCCGAAAACCGCACCUCAUUUGGACUCUCCUAGCUCCCUCUACCUAUAAAUAUGUGGCCAUCCCCGAAAUUUUCGCGGAUGAGACCCUAACCUUCUUCUCCAUCGCGCCGCUGGACACAUUCCACCGCGCCCGGACAUGUCCGCUCCGUCGUCCGCGCCAAUCGCCUCCCGCCACCUGUCCCGCCACCGCCUUCUCCGCCGCGGCCCGGGCGGCCCGAACCGGGCCCCCGAGGCCCAUCGCGUGCCCCGUCGCCUGGAAGCAUCGCCGCCCGGAUCCAGCUCCGCCCGAGCCGCCUCCGUCGCUGUGGGUCGCCACCGCACCCGCCGGCCGCCGCGCCGCCCGGCUUCGGCGACCUCUUCGGUACCCUCCACCACCAAAUCCGGCAGCCGCGCUCGCCGGCAGACGCCGUCCAUCGCCGCGGAGUGCCGCCCCGGCGCCCGGAUCCACCCAUCCCCGUCGGGAUCCGGCCCCUCCCCUCUCCCUCCGGCGACCUUCCUCUGGCGUCCACUCCGGCCGGCCAUCCUCGGGCUCCGUGAGCUACAGUACCCGGCGAGAUCCGAUCUGGAUCCAAAUCCACUGGGUUGACUUUCUACCCCCUAACCCUAAUUAUUUUGCGUUGUUCAUCGCCUCGUAACUUGGCAUCCAUAGCUCCGAUUCAUGCAUAUAGCAUAUCAAAAUGUUCGUCUCAGAGAGUACAUCAUUUCAUCUCAUUGCAUCAUUCUCAUUUGAGCUCAUCUUGAUGCCCGAAAUGCUGUUGGAAGAGUGCUAUUUGAGUUAAUUGUCAGAUCUGCUGCUCCAUUUAGCUAUUUGUCAUUUUUGCCAUGGUUAUUGUGUGCAUGAUAUGCCCAUGAGCUUUGCAUGUGUUUUGUUAAGGGUUUUGCCAUCUUUCCAGAGGUGCAACCCAUGUAUUUUUGUGAUGUGUGUGGUGACUAGCACAAGCUUGCAAAGUGAGGCACUUGGUAAUGCUGAUUUCAGGGACUUUGCAUUUCCACUAAGUCCUUGGCCUGUUUAUCUCAUUAUGCCAUAUGUUCAUGUUGUUUCCUAGUGAUCCGUGCCUCUUUUGAGGAUGAUCAGUAAGGAUGUUUUGUUAAUCUUGUAGUUCUCUAUCCAUCCAUGUAUUUGUUUGCAAUUAUGGAGCACCCUAGCUUGAGUCAAUCGAGCUCUACUUUUGUCAUUUCGUGAAUCUGAGCAGAUUGUCUACUUGUUAGCGAUUUUGCCGAGGAUGUUGUAGUUGAUCCGUGCAUGCUAUGUUAUUGUUCUUGCCAUGUCUACCUUGUAUAAUGCGUAUUCUUGAUGGGUGUAUGCUUAGAUUGUCAUGCCUUGCUCCGUAGUGAGUGCAUCGAGCUCGUAAACAUGCCUACUUGAUAUCUGUUUCAGCAUGCUCCAGUUUUCACUAAGUCUGUGAUCUGAUUAUGUUUUUGCCAUGUUCACAUGCUUGCAAUUGUAUUUUCUGAUCCCUUUUGGCUCAAGGUCACUAAAGGACUUUUGUUAAGCUCUUUGAGUAGUUCCAUGCCAUGCUUUACUUUGCCAUGUUCAGGUCCUGCAGCAUAUAGUUUUCAUGCUCCGAAGAGUGCUAUCUGAUCUGAAAUUUCAGGCUUGUGUUAAUUUCACUAAGUCUGAAAUCUGUUUACCAUAUGCAUUUUUGCCAUGCUUGUUUGAACCUGUUAAUGGAUGAAUUGGCUGUAGCUCAAUGCUAGACUUUUGUUAAGCAUCAUGAAUGCAUCCCUGCCAUGUAUUUUUAUGCCAUGUUUGAGUUCUGUAGUAUGUUCAUCUCGUUGCAUUUAGAUGGCUACUUGCUGUAAAUCGCAGACCGGUGCCAUAUUUGAAUUGCUCGCCAUUUCCAAACCGUAACUCCGAUUCCGGUGAUCUUUAUAUCGUUUUCAAGAGAUUUCAUCUCACCUUUCGAGUGGCACACUUGGAUUUCCAAGUUGAAGCUAGGUUCAUUCAUUCCUUGUCAAAUCAUGCAUAUGCAUCGCAUACCGCAUCUCGCAUAUCAUACCAUGUUUAUGUGUUGGUUGUUUACUAUGUUGUGUACUUCUUUCCGGUGUUUGCUUCUUCGGGUUGGUUCCGGUAACGUCGUGUUGUGAGGACCCGUUCGUCUACGCCCGUUUGUCUUCUUCAUGGACUCGUUCUUCUUCCUUGCGGGAUUUCAGGCAAGAUGAUCAUACACUCGAAAUCACUACUAUCUUUGCUUGCUAGUUGCUCGCUCUUUUGCUAUGCCUAUGCUGCGAUACCUACCACUUGCUUAUCAUGCCUCCCCUAUUGUUAAACCAAGCCUCUAACCCACCUUGUCAUAGCAAACCGUUGUUUGGCUAUGUUACUGCUUUGCUCAGCCCCUCUUAUAGCGUUGUUAGUUGCAGGUGAAGAUUGAAGUUUGUUUCUUGUUGGAACAUGGAGAUCGUUCCUUGUUGGAACAUUGUUUUACUUGUUGGGAUAUCACAAUAUAUUUUAUUUAAUUAAUGCAUCUAUAUACUUGGUAAAGGGUGGAAGGCUCGGCCUUAUGCCUGGUGUUUUGUUCCACUCUUGCCGCCCUAGUUUCCGUCAUAUCGGUGUUAUGUUCCCGGAUUUUGCGUUCCUUACGCGGUUGGGUUAUAAUGGGAACCCCUUGACAGUUCGCCUUGAAUAAAACUCCUCCAGCAAGGCCCAACCUUGGUUUUACCAUUCGCCACCUAGCCUUUUUCCCUUGGGAGUCGCACAUCCCGAGGGUCAUCUUAUUUUAACCUCCCCGGGCCAGUGCUUGUCUAAGUGUUGGUCCAACCCAGAGCACCGUGUGGGGCCGUCCCUUGGCAACUUGGGUUACGUUGGCUCCCGUACGCUUAGCUUAUCCGGUGUGCCCUGAGAACGAGAUAUGUGCAGCUCCUAUCGGGAUGUCGGCGCAUCGGGUGGUCUUGCUGGACUUGUUUUACCAAUGUCGAGGAUGUCUUGAAGAACCGGGAUACCGAGUCUGAUCGGAACGUCUCGAGAGGAGGUCUAUUCCUUCGUUGACCGUGAGCGCUUAUCAUGGGCUAAGUUGGGACACCCCUGCAGGGAUUUGAACUUUCGAAAGCCGUGCCCACGGUUAUGGGCAGAUGGGAAUUUGUUAAUGUUCGGUUGUACAAAACCUGAAGUUAACCUUAAUUAAAAUGCAUCAACAGCGUACGUUACCGUGAUGGUCUCUUUCCGGCGGAGUCCGGGAAGUGAACACGGUGUUGGAGUUAUGCUUGUCGUAGGUUGUUUUAGGAUCACCUCUUGAUCAUACUUUUAUCGACCGUGCUUUGCCUUCUCUUCUCGCUCUCAUUUGCGUAUGUUAGCCACCAUAUAUGCUAGUCGCUUGCUGCAGCUCCACAAAUUUACCCUGCCUUUCCUAUAAGCUUAAAUUGUCUUGAUCGCGAGGGUGCGAGAUUGCUGAGUCCCCGUGGCUCACAGAUACUUCCAAAACCAGCUUGCAGGUGCCGAUGAGUCCGUGCAGAUGACGCAACCCAGCUCAGGAGGAGCUCGAUGAAGAUCUUGUCCUUUGUGUUGUUUCAUUCUAGUUGAUCAGUAGUGGAGCCCAGUUGGGGUCGAUCGGGGACCUUUGUCGCUUUUGGGGUUCUUAUUUUAUUUUGGUUCCGUAGUCGGACCUUGAUUGUAUCUGGUUGAUGUAAUGCUUUAUUCAUGUAAUUGUGUGAAGUGGCGAUUGUAAGCCAACUAUGUAUCCCUUUCCCUUUGUAUUACAUGGGUUGUGUGA
rnacentral:lncRNA from 1 species